CUGAUGACAAAGGAACUUUUUUGUUUGUUUCUCCCUCCCUCAUUUUUAGCAAAUUAUAAAACUAGGCUAUAGACUGUUAGAGAGAUGAGUAAAAAAAGGGACAAGAACAGAAAACAGAUCAAGCAUGCAUAAUCUAUGGAAGAGGACAUCCAUCUUAUUCAAGGGAUGCUCAGAAUAGCUCUCAGCAGAACUGGAGGCUGAAGAACAAUACACCUUGAAUCAUGAGAUUUUGGAUUCUCUGAGUCAGCCCUAGAGUGCCAGGUUCAGUGAUGACCCAGAUUCAAAUCUCACCUAUACUGCUGAUUAUCUGUGUGGUAUCAGGACUUAUGAUUAAACCAACCAUAUUCAUAUUAAGAUGGACUUCACUAAGGAGAUAAAAAUUAAAACAGGAAAACAAGCAUAUAUGAAAAGAAACAGAUCUGCUGGCAUUUUAAUGAUGAUAUUCUUCUUAGCAACAAUUUUGAAAAAAGUUGUUAUUUUGUAUUGAUGUACAAUGAGGACUGCUUUAACAUGUCUUGAAAAUGUGAAUCUGUUCCAAUGGGUACUGAUAUAUUAAGGAACAUUUUGAGCAUAAUGCAAAUUUUAAGUUUACUUCUACAUCAUUUCUUCUUCAAGAAAUAACAAGAAUACAGAAAACUGUACCAUUUCAUAAAUAAUUGAAAAUCUGUAGCCCUUCACAUGCCCACUUUCACAAAAAAAGCACAUAUUGGACAAUAUAAAGCAUCAUGCUUAUUGUUUAUCUUCAGGAACAAUAAGAUCUAUGAGCAGAGUAUGGCUAAUCUUCAUCACCCCCCACCCUCUUCUGCUAUGGCCUCUACCCCAUAUCUAGUAUUGCCAUCUGAUUAGUUUGUUCAUGAAGCCCAGUUCAGGAUGAGGCUGUGGAUUACUUUUUAUUAUAGUAGUUAUGUAUUUUUUAAUCAAUUAACAUAUACAAAAAUGAACUACCAUUUUUGUUUCCUAUUUUUUUAGGUUACUGAUCAAGCUUUUGAGAGUUGUGCUUCCCAGCCCUUUUGCUCCACAAAAUCUGUGAUUUUUUUUUUAUUUCACUAUUUGUGUGAAACAAAAUCAGUCAGAAUGAAUGAAUAUAUACAAAGAUCUUUUCCAUGCUUUUAGAAUCUUUCCCCAUUUGAAGUAUCUUUUAAAAAUUAAGCCACAAGUGCUCUUAAAAUUUUGUCAUAGACAGCAUGAGCUUCCAUUUCAUCUACAAACAUUCUAGAGAAAAUUGAGUUUUGAUGGAUCUUAUACUACUGUCUCAUUUUUCUCUUUAACUGCUAGUAUAUGAGAUAAUGUUCCUGAUGACCUUCUGACUUUGUCCUUUGUAGUGAAUUGCACUUUAAAUCAGUAUACUUUUAGCUUCCAUAUUUCUCAUUGACUUUAAUGGGCUAAAAUAUUUCCCUGCUCGUGUUCUGCUUUUAAUCUGACAUUAGCUAGGUAACAAAAUAAUCAACAUUUAUUUUAACUAUGUCUAAAAUGAGAACAAAUAUGAUUUAAGUAAAUUAUCCUCAAGAAAAGUGAAAACAUUUUAUAAUAUUUACUUUGGUUAUUCAGAGACAUUUAUUACUUAUUUUGUUUCUUGAUUAUGUUCUAUAUAGUCAUAGUUGCCAUAUAAAUAAGUGUCACUAUUAGUACAGUAAAUAUGGUUUUAGAUUUAUUAUAAAUAAAAAGAAAACAUCAUUGCUAAAAUAAUGUAGUAUUGAAUAGAGGAUAUAGGGCCUGAUUUACAAUGAUGAAGACUUGGGUUUAAGGCUUAUCCAAUAAGCUUUGAAGAUGGGCAAGUCAAUCUCAAUGCCUCUGUGCAACUCUUAAAGGCUAUAAGUUACAAGUUUCUGUUAUGUGUUUAAUAUUAAAUAAUAUUAAUCAAUAAUGGUAUUGUAAUAGAUAAUUAGUGUUGAUUAUGUAUUAUAACCAACAUUAAUUAUUAGUGUGAUAUUUGCUAGUAUGAUAUUAAUAAUUUAUAUAACAUAUAUUAUUGUGUCACUUAUAAUUAAUUAAUAUGUAUCAAUGCAUUAUUAUAAUGAAUUACAUAUAAGGAAUUUACUGUGUAGCUGGGUCCCAAUUGAUGCAAACAACGAAUCUCAUAAAGUGGUGGCAUAUAUUUAAAUCUGCACUAUUCAGUUAUGAUUACAUAAAAUUUGGUCAUUGAUUUCAGCUAAGUUGAAAAAUGCAGUACAAAUUCAAAUAAGUCAGCUACUUUAAGGAAUUCAUUAUUCAUAUCCAUUAGGCCCUAACUGUAUCAAUGAAACAUUAGUACAAAUAAAACAAAUCCUUAUAAUCAUCAUUUCCAAAAGCACUACAAGGAUGUUAUAUUUUUGUAAUUAAUAUUAAAAAAAAGUAUAAAAUUAAUAUCAUCAAACUUCCUUGAGGAAGGUUACAACUUCUCUACCAUUUAGUAAAUGGUGUUCAAGAGUUCCACAAGCAGAAAAGGCAUAGCAUGGUAGUUGAUGUCAAGAUGAAGUUUUUCAAAUUUAUUAGCAUUAGGCUGGUCCUGAGGUGAUAUACAGACAGUCCAAUUCUAGAGACACAGUUAAACUUUCCUGAUUGCCAGAGCCUACUAGUUCAUGUGCCACUGGGGUAGUUUUGGAUAACUCACAGAUCUCUAAUAUAUAUAUAUAUACAUAUGGCUUAAGAGAAAGGCUUCAGCAGAGGGAAAUAAUAAAACUAAUAAAAAAACUAAUAAAUAUUGUACCUCUUCUUUUCUUAUAUCACCAUAAAUCUCAAAGUAAUCAUUGUUCUGGACAACCAGUGGCCUGUGAAUGGG
rnacentral:lncRNA from 1 species